rnacentral:rRNA from 1 species
CAGUAGCCACGGUAAUACGGAGGGUGCAAGCGUUAAUCGGAAUUACUGGGCGUAAAGCGCACGCAGGCGGUCUGUCAAGUCGGAUGUGAAAUCCCCGGGCUCAACCUGGGAACUGCAUUCGAAACUGGCAGGCUAGAGUCUUGUAGAGGGGGGUAGAAUUCCAGGUGUAGCGGUGAAAUGCGUAGAGAUCUGGAGGAAUACCGGUGGCGAAGGCGGCCCCCUGGACAAAGACUGACGCUCAGGUGCGAAAGCGUGGGAGCAAACAGGAUUAGAUACCCCGGUAGUCCCUGUCUCUUAUACC